rnacentral:misc_RNA from 1 species
UUAAUCAGCUUUUUGAAGAUACUUUCGGUCGCUUUCAGUGUGGAUGAUCCAAGAGUUGGGCUUCAAUGCGAACUGGCAAAACCUAGUUUUUUCUCUAUUCGUUUGAGCGUUGCGGUACUUGUUACUUGACGAGAUGUUUGGGUUCUCGAAAAGGCGAAUGAAACUCGGGAGACUGAACUCAGCUCAAGGAACUAGAAGUCCUAUGAGGCACCCCAAGCGUUCUAGCAAUUCCAGUGGUGAA